rnacentral:lncRNA from 1 species
CGGGCGGGUCCCAGGGGCUGGGGCGGCAGAGCGCAUCCCGGAGGCAGGACCCCCGGGCGGCGGCGGCGUUCCGCCCCCGCAGGCGCGUCGCACCCCACAGGUCUUCGCCCGGCGCCCGUUCAGAGGAAAAAUUACGAAGCCUACCGGGCUGCGCACAGAGCGUUAAACCCGAGCGGGCACCCUUCGGAGCGGGCGCUGCGCCCGCGGGUGGGCGGCGCAGGCCGGGAGGGGCUGAGGCGGCUGCGGCUGGAGCGGGGACAAGGACGAAAGCCGGGCUUCCCGCUAGGAGGACGCCCCCAGAAUAAGCCAUGCAAGCGCACAGUCCCCAGUUUCCAGCUCGCUGAUGGUCUGGGUGUGGGGCGAGAACGAACUGCAGAGGAACCUGGGAUGACGCCAGAGUUCUGGCCUGAAAAACCAGAAGAACGGAGUUUGCGUUUUCUGAGAUGGGGUCUUCCUGGGAUGAGCAUAAAGAUAAUGCGGCAGGUGACUGCAGACUGCAGUCCGAGUACCACCGGAAGACGCACGUGGACUUCUACGGAGGCAAGAGCUGGAGCCCUUCUGGAGCCCUCCCCAAAUUUCCCUUGUUGUCAACACCUUGUAUAAGUGCGG